AAGAUUCGAAUUUUCUAUUACUUUAUAUAUCCCCGAAAUAAUCUAUAUGUAUUUCGAUUCAUUUAUGUUCCUUUUCUUUCGGCAACAAAUGUUCAAUCGUCGAUAUAAAAGAUACUUGAGGUGGGGCAUUACGAGAAUCGAACUUGAGACCUCUUGCACCCGAAGCGAGAAUCAUACCACUAGUCCAAAUGCCCAUGUUUGUAAUAGAUUUCCUAAAUGGAUUGCUUAUUUUGGUAAUGCAGUUGCAACUUUCACCAAGUUGGGUGCUUAAGGAUCUUGGGAAAGGAAAGUGAAGUCAUAUUUAAUCUAAUCUGGUACAACUUUUCACCCAUUUCGGUGCUUAAGGAUAUUGGCAAGGAAAAGUUAGGUCACAUGUUCUUAAUCCGAUUACAUUUCACCAACCUUUCAAAACAUCAGAAGAAGAUUGUAAUGAGGCAACAUUCAUAGAGGAUUGAAAUAUUGAAUGCCGAUUUAUGAAUGCAUAUACUCAAUUAUGCAUGCAUGAAAAACAGUAGUUUAAGUGAUGGUGUGUAUAUUGUGAUGCAGAAAUAAUGCAUUCUAUAAACGAAUCACUGUCUUCUGCUUUUUAUCUCUAUUGCAGGUUUGUUUAUAAGAUCACUUUGAUGUGUUGGUUAGCAAUUGCUUAUUUUGGUAAUGCAGUUUGAUUUUUCACCUACUUGGGAUCCUGAAAAUCUUCAUAAAAAAUUAGUAAUGGUUCAUUUUGGUUAUAUUUUCUUUUCUUGUAGUUGCAUUUUCUUAACAAAAUAUGACAUAUAUAUCAG